CCCGACCAACCUGCGUCAGCGGCCGCUGUGCCCUCGAGAGGGACCCAGUCGGGCUCGAGCUUGCCCUCUCUUUCUGAUGUCAGGGCCUAGGUGUCUAAACGAGGGAAGACCCCGAUGGCGCCAGGCGACGACAGGAGGUCGGCCGGCCGCGGUGCGUCGUCCGACACCCCACUUCCCGAAGGAGCGUCGGCCCUGGCCAACCAUGACUUGGCCAGGAGGUUGUGCCAGGCGAUUAUCCUUCCGGUCGAUCAUGAGGUCAUGAAGAAUCAGUGGGUAUCCGACAUGCUUUCCUCCUUCUACCCAACCAUGAUCCGGGUAAGUUUUUCUCCUUUACUUUUCAUUUUCGUCAUCAUUUUUUAUAAGUUCGGUCUUCUGACGGUCAGUCUUGUUGUUUGCAGCUGAUUUACAACAUAUCCGAGCUGGAGACCGAAUAUCGGAGGUUCGGUGAUCUCCGGGCGGCGUGAAAAGAUAAGGCCAUGGUCGUCGAGGCCGAUAAAGCAGUAAUGAUCGACCAGCUGAAGCAAUCGAUUGACCGUGAGGCCCGACUUGAAGAGGAGAUCUCCCACCUUACCGAGGAGGUCUCCCACCUUACCGAUGCCCUGGCCGCCUCGAGGAUCGAGCUGCAGUCGGCUCGCGAGGAAGCCAAGCGAAAGUCCCGCACUGUUCGCCGGCUGCGUCGCGAGCGGGAUGACUCCAUCGGGGAACUCAAAGCCAAAUGCGAGCAGCUCCGGAUAAGUUUGGAGAAUCUCGCCAAGGCCGAAGAAAACUUAUCCUUCGCUCAAGCCGACGCAACCAUAGCGAGGGUGGAGGCAGAGUCGGCGAAAGAGGCUAUGGGUCAGGCCGUGGAGGACUUCCACUGCUCCGACGAAUACCGGGAGGAACUCUUGGAGAGCGGCUUCAUCUCGUACUAAGUGGGGUACGAGGAUGCCUGGAGCGCAGUCCAAGGUAUGUAUCCAGAGCUUGAUCUCAGCAGCGUCGUUCCCCUAGGGUCGGAAGAUCAAGUCACGGAAGAAGUGGCCGACCCGUUGUCGAGGGAUUGCACUGCCGUGGAGGAGGCUGACACUGACCAGGCUGCCGAAGGCGAGGCGGCUCCGACCCUCGAUGCUACCUCAGCCCGAGUGGAUACACCGACCGCCCCCGGACUUCUCUCGGUAGAGGAAGCCGACUCCGGUGAGUAGUCGGAGCAUGUUUUGCUUUUGCUUUUGUUUAGUGUACUUGUGAUCGUGCUUCAGCCCAAUUUUGUAAACUCAAUUCAAGUUUGAAUGAAAUUAAAAAUUUUUCAACUCUUCUUUCUUUUUAUGUAUCUGAAAUAUAUCUUGGAAUGCAUGUUUCGCCGAAACACCCUCGGACGUAUAAGCCGUAGGCCCGAUGUACCUAGCUAGGACGUUCGGUAGGAUCCCAGGUAACGAUCCAGAAUAGUCGGUAGCGCGUGCCAUGAUAAAGGCAGAGCGAGCUUCGAUUUUAGAUCGGCCUCCCGACUGUCGUAUGAUCCGACAAUCGGGAGCUUAAGUCGAGCGCCCAUUGCCCAGACCUAAGUCGGGCAUGUUCGUCGAGUCGGAUGUCGUCCGUCCUUCGGGCGUAGCUCUUUGACCCGAUCAUCUUGUAGAGUCCGAUAGUUGAAUAGUGUUCGAGGCAUUUAGUUGAUGACAGGUCGGUCAUCCAUUGCCCGAUUCUUUGUCGGGCAUAUGCGUCGUGACGUGUGAUAAAUGGUGGUAAGUCGAAUAUUCUUCGACCGAUCGUGACCUGGUCGGUAUGUCGCGAACGCGACGUUGGUCGCAUUGGUGUUUUGCCUUUCUUGGCCAGAGCCAAGUCGGCGAGUUAGCCAGUCGCCUUGCUCAGGAGCUGGCUGCGGAAGGGGUGUGGCUUCAACUUAGGGGGGUUUUUUAUCGCCAUCGCCGGCCUUCCACCAACGUAGAUAUGUCGGUCAUCGUAAGAGUCUGACACGCCGUCGGUGAUUGGGCCACAGAUUUUCGAUGGAAUGUUGGGCCCAAGUCGUGGCGUCGGGGCUCGUACUACUAGCGAGCGCCGACGCACAGUCGGAGAGCUGAGAUUCUAGACUCCGAAGUUUAGAAACUGAGUUUGUAUUCCAAACAAGGGCGCAAAGAGUUUACUGAUAGUACAAUCUCAGAUUGUCGGCAUUCCAAGUCCGGAGAAUGGCGCUUCCUUCUAGAGUCUCCAAUCGGUAAGCUCCCGGUCUGUAGGUGUCCGCUAUCUUGUAGGGUCCUUCCCAGUUCGGAGCCAACUUUCCUUGGUCUAGAGGCUUCGAAACUUUUGCCUUUCUUAAGACCAAGUCCCCUGGCCUGAAAAGCUUCAGCUUAAUCUUAGCGUUAUAGUAUCGGACCACUCUCUGUCGGUAGGAAGCCAUGCAGAGUUGAGCCUCGUGCCGGAGUUCGGAUAGGAAGUCCAGGUCGGCUCUCUGACACUCGGAGUUGCCCGAUUCGCGGUACUGCUCGACUCUAGUCGAUGGUAGCCCGAUCUCGAGCAGGAUCAUCGCCUCCAUCCCAUAGGCCAGGCUGAAAGGAGAUUCCCCGAUUGGGACACGAGGUGUCGUUCGGUAUACCCAUAGGAUAGAAUUCAAUUCUUUGACUCAGAGGCCCUUGGCUUCAUUCAGUCGGGUCUUUAGUCCAUGCAGAAUAGUCUGGUUGGUCACCUCGACCUCGUCGUUGGACUGUGGGUGCCCGACCGAGGUCAGUCGGUGCAUGAUAUGAAAUCUUGUACAGAACUUUCGAAAGUCUCGGUUGUCGAAUUGUCGUCCAUUGUCGGUGAUAAUGGUGUGCGGUAGUUCGAACCUGAAGAUGAUAGACUUCUGGACGAAAUAUUCUAUCUUCCGCUCGAUGAUCUGCACCAAAGAUUCGGCUUCUACCCACUUAGUGAAGUAGUCGAUUGCGACAACUAUGAACUUUCUUUAGCCAGAUGCCGGANNNNNNNNNNNNNNNNNNNNNNNNNNNNNNNNNNNNNNNNNNNNNNNNNNNNNNNNNNNNNNNNNNNNNNNNNNNNNNNNNNNNNNNNNNNNNNNNNNNNNNNNNNNNNNNNNNNNNNNNNNNNNNNNNNNNNNNNNNNNNNNNNNNNNNNNNNNNNNNNNNNNNNNNNNNNNNNNNNNNNNNNNNNNNNNNNNNNNNNNNNNNNNNNNNNNNNNNNNNNNNNNNNNNNNNNNNNNNNNNNNNNNNNNNNNNNNNNNNNNNNNNNNNNNNNNNNNNNNNNNNNNNNNNNNNNNNNNNNNNNNNNNNNNNNNNNNNNNNNNNNNNNNNNNNNNNNNNNNNNNNNNNNNNNNNNNNNNNNNNNNNNNNNNNNNNNNNNNNNNNNNNNNNNNNNNNNNNNNNNNNNNNNNNNNNNNNNNNNNNNNNNNNNNNNNNNNNNNNNNNNNNNNNNNNNNNNNNNNNNNNNNNNNNNNNNNNNNNNNNNNNNNNNNNNNNNNNNNNNNNNNNNNNNNNNNNNNNNNNNNNNNNNNNNNNNNNNNNNNNNNNNNNNNNNNNNNNNNNNNNNNNNNNNNNNNNNNNNNNNNNNNNNNNNNNNNNNNNNNNNNNNNNNNNNNNNNNNNNNNNNNNNNNNNNNNNNNNNNNNNNNNNNNNNNNNNNNNNNNNNNNNNNNNNNNNNNNNNNNNNNNNNNNNNNNNNNNNNNNNNNNNNNNNNNNNNNNNNNNNNNNNNNNNNNNNNNNNNNNNNNNNNNNNNNNNNNNNNNNNNNNNNNNNNNNNNNNNNNNNNNNNNNNNNNNNNNNNNNNNNNNNNNCAGACACGAUCAAGGCGAAUAUCAUUUUCUCCAUCUUUGAGUAUCGAGCUUCAGCUUUGUAGAGCACUUUGCUGGUGUAGUAUAUGGGUUGGUGAAUUCGGCUCUCGUUCUUCCGGACGAGCACCGAGCUAACCGCCUCGGAGAGGUUGCCAAAUAGAGGUACAGCAUUUCUUCGACUUUCGGCUUUACAAUUAGUGGCGGGGAAGCCAGGUACCUUUUCAGAUCCUCGAAGGCCUGCCGGCACUCAUCCGGCCAAGAGAAGUCCUUCACCUGUCUCAGAAUCUUGAAGAAUGGGAGGCAUCUCUCUGCCGACCGAGAGAUGAAUCGAUCGAGCGCGGUGAUCCUACCGUUAAGCUGCUGUACCUCCUUUUUGGUACCCGGGUGCCGCAUAUCGAUGAUUGCCUUUAUCUUCUCAGGAUUAGCCUCAAUUCCUCGCUGAGAAAUGAGGAACCCAAGGAACUUCCCUGAAGUCACCCCGAAGGUAUAUUUAGUUGGAUUUAACUUCAUCUGAUGUCAUCAAAGAGUGCGAAAAGUUUUUUCGAGGUCUUGGACAUGAUCUGAGGCCCGCGCACUCUUCACCAGCAUAUCGUCCACGUACACCUCCAUGUUGCACCCGAUUUGAUCUUUGAAGACCUUAUUGAUGAGUCGCUGGUAGGUGGCCCCAGUAUUUUUCAGUCCGAAGGGCAUUACCCUGUAGCAGUAAAGGCCCUUGGCGGUCACAAAGGCUGUGUGCUCCUCGUCUUCGGGCGCCAUCCGGAUUUGAUUAUAUCCGACAAAGGCAUCCAUGAAGCUGAGCAGUCGAUGGUCGGACGUCGCGUCUACCAACUGGUCGAUUUUCGAAAGUGGGAAGCUGUCCUUCGAGCAGGCACGAUUUAGGUCGGUAUAGUCGAUGCAGAUCCUCCACCUCCCGUUGGCUUUUUUUACCAUGAUAACAUUGGCGAGCCAAUCGGGGUACGUGGUUUUCCUAAUGAAGCCCGCCUCGAGUAGCUUGUCCACUUCCUCAUCGAUGGCCUUCUGUCUUUCAGAGAUGAAGGACCGCUUCUUCUGCCUCACCGACCUCAUUCCAGGGUUGAUGUUGAGUCGAUGAGUCAUCAUCUCUGGGGGGAUGCCAGACAUAUCCGCUGCCGACCAAGCGAAUACGUCGGUAUUGGCCUUCAGCAGCUCUACUAGCUGUCGUUGCUCAAAAUCGGACAAUUGGGAUCCGACCCAGACCACUCGUUCGGGAUUCUCCGCUAUCGGGAUGGAAACCAGUUGUUCGACAGGUUCGCCCCGUUCUUCCUCUCCCCGCUGGUCCAACUUGUCAGUCGUCAGGGAGUCCUUUGCUUCAUUACUUCGAGCAGAGAUUUGGAAGCAUCGCCGAGCGAGUUGUUGAUCUCCGCGCAUUUUUCCAACUCCGUUCUUGGUCGGGAACCGAACCAGCAGGUGGUAGGUCGAGACUAUAGCUUUGAGGGUGUUUAGCCCAGAUCUUCCAAGUAUGGCGUUGUAGGUCGAAGGUACUUGGACGACCGCAAAAGUUAAGUGGACGGUGCUUUAUCGUGGUUCGGUUUCGGCUGUCAUGGGAAGAGUAACUUCUCCUUCCAUCGUGAUGGCUUCCCCAACGAAACCCACCAGGGGCGUGGAGACUCUUUCGAGCCGAUCAGCCGACAGUCGCAUUCGGGAGAAGGUCGAGUAAAACAAAAUAUUAGUCGAACUUCUAUUAUCAACAAAGAUCCUUCUUACAUCAUAAUUUGCUAUUGUUGCUGAGACAACAACAGCAUCGUCAUGAGAAGUUUGGAUUCCCCGAGCAUCCUCGUCUGUAAAAGUAAUUACAUCAUCUUGGCAUAGCUUCUUCAUCGACUCCCCUCCAGCAGUCGUCCCCGAGUCCAGUCGUUUGGAAAUCAUGUUGAUGACCCCGACCGUGGGCUGAUUGUUCGCUGCCUCCUCAGUCGGUUGGGGUCGUCGGUCGGGGAUGGGUCGAGUCGGCGGUUUCCUUCAAAAUUUUUCAAGAUACCCCCGGCGUAUGAGGACCUCAAUUUCAUCCUUGAGUUGGAUGCACUGCUCGGUGUUGUGGCCAUGGUCCUGAUGAAAUCGAUAGUACUUUUGCCGGUCGAGGCUCUUUGCCUUCAAAGGCGGAGGCCGUCGUAGAUAUUCUUCCCUUUCAAUCUCCAUCAAAAUCUAUGCACGAAGAGCAGAGAGGAGAGUAUAGGAGUCAUAUCUGGGACGCAUCGGUCUCGAACUCCGCCAUCGAGACGAUCUCGGGCUCCGUCGUUGCGGUGAGAUCUAUUUGUCGGUCAGGGGCCUGCAGGGCUCGGUAGGGGCCCGACCUUUCCUUCGCUUCUCCUUCGGGCCCUUGGCCUCGAUCAGGUACCGGUCGGAAGCUCCUUCGUCUGCACGCAUGUAUUUGUAUGCACGCUCCAGCAAUUCGGCGCAUGUCCGGGGGAGGGUCUUGUCCAAGGAGUAUGUAAAUCGGGACCCCCUUAGCCCCCUCUUCAUGGCUGAGAUAGCCAUAUCUUCAUUGAGGUCCCGAACCUUGAGCGUGGCCGCGUUGAAUCGCGUCACGAAGUGUCAGAGCGUCUUGUUUUCUCCCUGCUUGAGGAAAAAAAGGCUGUCCGAGGUUCGUGGGGGCUUCCGGCUGGUGCUGAAAUAGACCACGAAAGUAUGUUCGAGCUGAUCGAAGGAGUGGAUGCUUCCUAAGUGGAGGCCGGAGUACCAGGCCCUGGCGGCCUUGCGAAGUGUGGUGGGGAAGUCGAUGCAGAGAAGGGCANNNNNNNNNNNNNNNNNNNNNNNNNNNNNNNNNNNNNNNNNNNNNNNNNNNNNNNNNNNNNNNNNNNNNNNNNNNNNNNNNNNNNNNNNNNNNNNNNNNNNNNNNNNNNNNNNNNNNNNNNNNNNNNNNNNNNNNNNNNNNNNNNNNNNNNNNNNNNNNNNNNNNNNNNNNNNNNNNNNNNNNNNNNNNNNNNNNNNNNNNNNNNNNNNNNNNNNNNNNNNNNNNNNNNNNNNNNNNNNNNNNNNNNNNNNNNNNNNNNNNNNNNNNNNNNNNNNNNNNNNNNNNNNNNNNNNNNNNNNNNNNNNNNNNNNNNNNNNNNNNNNNNNNNNNNNNNNNNNNNNNNNNNNNNNNNNNNNNNNNNNNNNNNNNNNNNNNNNNNNNNNNNNNNNNNNNNNNNNNNNNNNNNNNNNNNNNNNNNNNNNNNNNNNNNNNNNNNNNNNNNNNNNNNNNNNNNNNNNNNNNNNNNNNNNNNNNNNNNNNNNNNNNNNNNNNNNNNNNNNNNNNNNNNNNNNNNNNNNNNNNNNNNNNNNNNNNNNNNNNNNNNNNNNNNNNNNNNNNNNNNNNNNNNNNNNNNNNNNNNNNNNNNNNNNNNNNNNNNNNNNNNNNNNNNNNNNNNNNNNNNNNNNNNNNNNNUGGGUCGGUGGAACCGUCAUAGGGCUCCACGUGAGGCAUCUUGAACCGACUAGGGAUCGGCUCGUCAAGGAUGAGUCGGAAGAGAGGUUGGGCGGUCUGGAAGUCGAUGUUGUUCGAAGACUUCUGUCUAUCCACCUGAAGCUGGGCAAGCCGACGGUCGAUUUCUUCGAACUUGCGUUCAUAGUCGUCGGUCCGUCGGUGCUGAGAGACCUCGGGGGUGGAGUCUCCCGAUGAAUCCGAGAGGAACGCAGACGGUGUUCGCGGUCGCUUCUCCUUCCUAGCUCGUUCCAGCUGGGAAGGAGAUGGUCGUUGGGACCGAUGGGUAUCAUGCCGUGGCCGCCUCUCCUCCUCUCGAUGGGAGUGUUGUGACAGCUGCUCCUGAGGAGGAGUUGGAGACCGAUGCGGACGUCGGCGGCUGCUCCUGGAGGGCAUCGAGUAUGCCGUCGGUUGCCCCGCCGGCGAUUGCGGCAACCGGAUUGGUUGUUGUUGAAGGCUCUUGACUGCAUCCGUCAGCACAGUCAUCUGCCGCACAAUCGCCGCAAUUUGCGCCUCCGUGGUAACCACAGGAUGCGGAGAGCUGGGCUCCGCCAUGGAGGGUGGAGGAGAGGUCUCUUCCCGAUGGGAAGAGAGCCUCACCGAUCCGGUGGCCCUCGAUCGCUGAGCCCGGAUUUUUGUCAUUUUAAAAGGAUUUUUUCAAGCUCUGCGGAGGUCGGACCAGUACGAGGACCCCCUACCUAGUGCGCCAAAAUCUGUUGCGGUCAAUCCCCUCAUCGCCUGGUCAUCGGAAACGAGCACCUGUAAGGGAAGUCCACACUGACCGAAGAUGUCUCCGACGGAGACCCUCUGAUGGUCAAGUCAGAGAGGAGACUAGGCAACAGUAGAAAAGAAUCAAAGAAACUCAGCGAGAGAGAGAGAGAGAGUCUAGGGGUUUCGAAGAACCUCCUCGUAGCACUGUUGCCUUCCCUGUUUUAUAGUAGAGCGUGGCGUGGUGCCGUCAUUAAUGACGCAGACAACUGGGGGAGUUGUCAAAUCACCGGAGGCUGUCAGAGUCACCGCGGACUGUCAAGUCACCGUGUGUUGUCAAAUCGCUAGGAUUAAUUUAUGUCCUUGGCAGGACAAUGUCCCAGGAUGGCUAUGCCGCAUGCCUUUGUCAGGACGGCGGUCCUCAGCAGUCAUACGGUGUUUGGGAGAGCCGACCGGCCAUACGUCGAUAUUUGGUUGUGAGAUGUCGGGUGAAGACCCAGGGACCCUCCGACGGUCAGUCUGGCGCGUUGCGGGAGUCGGAGAAGACUUUGUCGUUCGGUCAGUCGGAAACGAAAAGGGUCUAUCCGACCGACAUACCUUCGGUCGGAUAGUAUCGGCAGUCGUCGGUUGGUGCGGUCGGUAGAGUCGGACAUCGGUCAAGUGGGUCCGAUGGUGAAUCGGUGUGAGAGGGAUCGAUCGGUAUAUCCCAACAUCAUGAAUACUUUAAAAUAUUUUUUUCUGNNNNNNNNNNNNNNNNNNNNUAUAUAUAUAUAUAUAUAUAUAUAUUAUGGUACUAGAUAAAUUUCUUAUGAAUUUAGAAGGAUACCUUGUGUACUAAUUUGUCAUUUUAGGAUAAUUAUUGAUAUUAGACUUCAGAUUUAAACUGAAAAAUUGUGUAGAAAGAUUCUUUUGCUCAUAUUUGGACUCUAUAAACAUAGAGCCUUGCACCCAAAAAAAAGGCAGCAUCUCUUGUCCUUUUCAAAAUUUUUAUUCCUCUAAAAUUUAAACAAUUUUCUAGAGAGUUCCUGGAAAUUUCUUUAGAAUUUUCGUCUGUAGAAUUUCAUAAAACUAUCUUGUAUUCUGUGAGUGAUUUGCUAACAACUUUUUAGCAAACUAAUUGUUCGAGUGAUGGCAAAUAUCUUCUUAAAAAUAGUGAUUUAUGCACCUCAAAAUCUUGAUUUUUUUUCCCUCCAUCCAACCCACUCUUUCCAAAAUAACAUCCUCAUUGGAUGAAGCAUCAUAAGUGCAAUGAGAGGGUAAGGCUUGCUGAGCAAAGCUAAUCUAUAAUUUUUCAUCUUGCAUUCUUAUGUAAUUCAGGCCAUUUGCUGAUUGACCCUAGGCUGGUUUUAUUUUAUGCACGACCUUUAUUAUCUGAUCUGUAACAUAUGUUUUAUUGAGAGUCCUCAUCAAAAGGCACAUCUGAUUUUAUGCUCUCCAAAGAAAUGCGAAGUCGAAGACUCCUUAUAUCUGUUGUGGUGUAGAAAAAGCUUCUUUAGUCUCACAUCGGUUAUGAGCCAAGAAGAAAUAUGGUUUAUAUGGAUUGAAAUCUUCUCUUCCAACAUGAGACGCCUUUUAAAGAACAAAACUGUGAGGCUCUAAAUGAUCAAGGACCAUGGAAGCCUAAAGACCCACUGAAACCUAAAGAUGCUCAUGAAUCAAAACGGACAAUACCUCAUGUCUGUGAAAGCGAAGGCAUAAGCCAACCAUCUAAGCCAUUCUCGAUCCCUUGAUCGAUGACCACAACAUUGGCGUCGUCUGUGAUUUCUAUGGAUUGGAACCGGUUAUAAGUCAAGAGGGAAUAUGACUUAUAUGGAUUGGAACCUUCUCUCCCAAAUUUGAAGCGUAUUUUAAAGGACAAAACUGUGAGACUCUAAAUGAUCAAUACACAUUGAAGUCUAAAGGCCCACUGAAGCCUAAAGAUGGUCAUGAGUCAAAGUGGACAAUACCUCACGUAAGUGGAGGCGAAGGCAUAAGCCAACCAUCUAAGCCAUUCGACCCUUUGACCUAUGAUCAUAACAAUACCAAAUGCAUCUAAUGCCGUCUAGAAGAAAAAAGAAAGGGACAUGAAUGCCUUUUGUGUUAUAUAGUUUAGUAAGUGAUAAGCUGGUUUAAUGGCCAGUUCAAUGGGAGAAAUAUAUCAAUCAUACAAAGAGCCCCUUUAGCAACAACUAUAGAAAAUAAGUUUGAAGAUUCCCUACAAACAUAUGAUCAUGUUCAACCCACAGCCUGACGCCUAAUAUUUGAUAUCUUUUGGUUGCCGGUCCCUUUAUUCCUAAGACCUAGAAUGGUAUACAAAUAAAGCAGCGUGAAAAAGCAUAAGAUUUUUUAUUUAUUUAUUUAUUUUUUAACUUUUGUAAGGAUGAAUAUUUUUGCUAAUCAUAUUUUUUAUAUGAAGAAUCUCAUUUAUCAAAUUUGUAAAAUCUCUUUAUUGGUACAUGAUAUAUGCAUUCAAAUAUGUUUCCAUUUUCUGUUGUCAUCCUAGAACUAGAGCGCAAGAUCUUAUUAAAUUCCAUAGUUAAACAUGUUACUAAGUAAAAUUUAGAGGUUAAAAAUAUCAAAAUCAAGAAAAUAUUAGUAAAAAUAUCUUUUAUAUAGUAAAACAAAUACAUAAGCCAAGCAAAAUAUAGUUAUCAAAUAAUAAUAAAUAGUAUAAUCAUAAUCAUCAAUAAACAUACAUUAUGGCAAUGUAUGGUUGCUGGGAAUAAGGUGGAAUAAAGAUUUAUUCCAUUUUAUUCCUUCAAACACAUUAUGAAAUGAUAGUGAAAUUUGUGGAUUUUACAAUUUCGAUCAAAAAUAUAUUAAUUAUAUUUUAUUUUUUUCCACCUGAUUUAAGCUAUUCCAUAUUUCAUCACGAAAUAACUUAUUUUAAAAAAUGAUAAGAAAUAAUUUUAUUUUAUUUUGAUUUAAAAAAUAAUAAUAUAUAAUUUUGACAGGCUCGAUAAAUUUUUAACUAAACAUAAAAUUUGAAUAGAAAUGAUGGAUAAAUAUUUUGAAGAACUAAUAUUUUUAUUUUAAAAAUAUCAAAAUGACCGUCAAACCAAUGAGUAUCACAAACCAAUGCUGGUCUCUUUGCCUUGAAUUUCCAAUUUUUUAAUCCGCAGGAACAGACAAACCCAAGUUGCCUGAGCCCCCAACGGAACCUUAUAGAUUUGGUUCUCCAAAUGCUAGCGGCUCCACAUGUUCCUAAACUUACCUGUCUUUUUUUUUCUAAAAAAAAAAGUUAGCCGUCUUAUGAGUCGACACCUUACAUGUAACCCUCAUGCAUUAAAACUUGAAAGCUUUGAACCUUGUUGUUCCACUCGCCCCUUUGAGACGUCUUCACGGGUUCGUUCCAGCCACCAUCCGAGCCCACUGCUUCCAGCCUGGCAGGGCCAAUAAUUAUAAAGCAAACAGAGAACCCUCGCAAAACACUUGCCCUUCCUUUCCUCCUACGUUCCCUUUUGCCAAUUACCGUAUCCGGUCACCAAACCUACUCUGUCUUUAUCCCCGUCAAUGUCGCCACCCAACUUGAGCUGAAGGACACCUCUUACUCUCACUCCCGGGAGGCCAAAAACCUCUCUAGAUCGUCUAGAACCCAUAUCUCACUUACCUCAUUUGCUUAACAACCAAAGAUUUUUAUAAUAGAACACUCCACCAGAUCACUUGCUUUGAUUCCAAGCUUGUUCACAUCCUCCGUUGCUCUUUUACUAACUUAAAAAGAGGAAAGAAGGGAAGAAAAAGCGGCCAAAGGUGGCAGCUUUGAGAGAGAGGGGGAGGAGAGGAGGGGAAAGGAGUGAGGUGGGGAGGAUGAGUAUGUACGGGAGAGAUCCGUGGGGCGGGCCGCUGGAGAUAUCGAACGCGGACUCGGCGACGGACGAUGACCGGAGCCGGAAUAUGGAUUUGGACCGGGCGGCGCUGUCGACGUCGUCGCGGCCGCUGGAUGAGACCCAGCAAAGCUGGCUCUUGGCCGGUCCGGGAGAUCAGGGGAAGACGAAGAAGAAGUACGUCGACCUCGGGUGCCUCAUCGUCAGCCGGAAGCUCUUCAUCUGGACCGUGGGCAUCAUCGUCGCCGUCGCCGCCCUCGCCGGGUUCAUUACUCUCAUCGUCAAGACCGUACCCCGACACCACCACCCCCAGGCGCCGCCGGACAACUACACCCUCGCCCUCCGCAAGGCCCUCAUGUUCUUCAAUGCCCAGCGAUGUAAGCCAAACCCCCUCCGACCCACUCGAAACUCCUUAUCCCCUCAGUGCGUGCGGUCCUUUCUUCAAAAGAUCGAAUUUUGAUCCACCAAGUGGAAAAAGAUUGGAUUUUUCGAUCGGUCGAAGGAGACAAAGAUCGGAUUUUGUUGACAUUUUUUAUUUUGUUUCUGCAGCUGGGCGGCUUCCCAAGCAUAACAACGUGUCCUGGAGAGGUAAUUCCGGGAUGAAGGACGGCAUCUCCGACCCGUCCUACGGGAGGAGCCUCGUCGGAGGCUUCUACGAUGCCGGAGAUGCAAUUAAGUUCAACUUCCCGGCCUCUUUCGCCAUGACCAUGCUGAGCUGGAGUGUGAUCGAGUACAGUGCGAAGUAUGAGGCCGCCGGCGAGCUCAACCACGUCAAGGAGAUCAUCAAGUGGGGCACCGAUUACCUCCUCAAGACCUUCAACAACUCCGCCGACACCAUUGAUCGGAUCGCCGCCCAGGUAAAAAGAAGAAACUUCAAUCAGUAAUUUAGAGCAUUGCUAGCUCCAUGGAGUUGUGAUUCCUGAGGUGGUGGGGUGUGUGAUCUCUGCCAGGUUGGGAUAGGAGACACUUCAGGAGGAACGACUCCAAAUGACCAUUACUGCUGGAUGAAGCCGGAGGACAUCGACUACCCGAGGCCAGUCUAUGUGUGCCACAGCUGCUCGGAUCUCGCUGCAGAGAUGGCUGCAGCUCUGGCUGCAGCAUCCAUUGUGUUCAAGGACAACAAGGCCUAUUCCCAGAAGCUCGUCCACGGUGCAGCGACAGUCUGGAAGUUUGCAAGGGAGCAGAGGGGGAGGUACAGCCCCAGAGGAUCGGACCCCUCACUCUUCUACAAUUCAACUAGUUACUGGGAUGAGUUUGUGUGGGGUGGGUCAUGGAUGUAUCUAGCAACGGGCAAUUCUUCUUACCUUUAUUUGUCUACUCAUCCCACUUUGGCAAAGCAUGCUGGUGCCUUCUGGGGUGGUCCAGAUUAUGGGGUGUUCAGCUGGGACAACAAGCUCCCUGGUGCUCAAGUACGUGUGGACCAAUUGAUCCUAUGUUCUUCUUCCUCUAAUUCUUGAAAUUACUUCUUUGAUUGGAUGAUUCAUAGUAUAUGAAGUAAUUUGACUUGAUCACUAAUAGAGCUAUUGGGUUUGCUAGGUUUUAAUAAUAAACUGUGCCAGGUGUUGUGUGGUGGUUGAAAACACCAUCAGUCAAGAACAAUCUUGAUGGUGCUUGACUGGGAAUUUUGAAAUCUUCCAUCUUUUUGAUCUGUUGUUCACACUGCCUUAUUUACCUCUGGUUUAAUGGGUGGGGAAAAAAGGGUAGGUAACCUGAAAGAGUCAAUAGGAGCUUGAUAAUAAAUUACAUCUACUUUCUGCAUUAAAUUUGUUAUCCAACUUUCUUGAUCCUUUCAGUCACAUGGUGAUUAGUUUUCCAAUUCGAGGCUUCGGGUUUUCAAGCUUAUCCUGUCUUAGAGAUUUCUGUGUAGGUAUGCUUAACUUAGCUGUAUUUAUGAGAUUGGGUUUUCAUUUGUGUUUUGGUUUGAAUUUGUAACCAUAUGUGGGAUCAAGAUAUCUGAUUUUGUUACAACCUUUUGUUGGUUUUGAUGGGAGCAUUUGGACGUACUUCUUUUAUGUAAAUUAAAUUUAUAAUCUGGUCAUGCGUUUCUAUGCUGGUUCUCCCCAGCUAAAUCUUGGGUGCUGUCCUGUGUUUUUGUUUGCAUAAUGUAUAUGGAACAAGAUAGUUUAAACCUUUUAUCCUCUAAAGUAUACUAAGUUGUAAGAACACCAAGGAUUUGAAGAAGUGGAAAUGACUGCUGUCUUGUUAAUGGUUUUAACUUUUUAUAAGAUUUGCCUUAAUUACCCAGUCUUGUAUAUAAAGGAUGCUUCAGGUAUUUCUUUCCUGUAUUUUAUUAGCAAUUAUAUCAAUCUACUCAGACCUAAUUUCUAGUUACAUUAUGACUACGGCAAGGCUACUGUCUCCCAAUUACUGAUCUUAUUCUGUUCAGCCAGAUAGAUAGUCUUAUUAUCUAGUUUUCCUCUGAUAUUCCUCACAGACCACAAUUAAUUUCAUCAUUUUUUUUUUGGGUCUCCUUGGCCAGUUUUUGAGGUAGGCUGCAUUCUUGUUUACAUAGUUCUCACUCUACCACAGAGUUGAAUGUUUUAACCUUGUAAAGGGACAAAUUUUACUUAUUUUAUGAGCAAACAAAUCUAAUAAAACCACACUCUUGUAGAUUGAUCCAGCAUCCUCUAGUUCUUGCUUGUAUUGGGUUGCAUUGAAUUCUCAUCUGCAGUUCUUAAUGAACUUUCAUGAUCAUAUUUCUUGGUUAGGAGGUUUGGCCUUACCAUGCUUGCAAACUUCCUAGAGACAUCUAGGAGUUCUUCAACUACAUUUGAUUGAAUUGAGCUUCAGGAAGUUUCAAUACUGCUUGUAUGAAAGUAAUAUUGUUUUCUCUAUAGAAUUAUCAUUAUCUCAUCUUCACUAUUCUUCAUCCAGAUUCUUCUUAGCAGAUUGAGGCUAUUCUUGAGUCCAGGGUAUCCUUAUGAAGAAAUAUUGAGAACUUUCCACAACCAGACCAGCAUAAUCAUGUGCUCGUAUCUACCUGUUUUCACCUCUUUCAACCGAACAAAAGGUUUGAGAUAGUUUGUUUUUUAAAUCUCUCUUGUUUCUCUCAAGCUUCUCAACUAUUCUGUCCAUGGCAGGUGGUUUCAUAGAGCUGAACCAUGGAAGACCCCAGCCCCUUCAGUACAUAGUCAAUGCAGCUUUUCUUGCAGCUGUCUACAGUGACUAUCUCGAUGCUGCAGAUACUCCAGGAUGGUAUUGUGGUCCCAAUUUCUACUCUACUGGGGUCCUUCGUGAUUUUGCCCGGACCCAGGUAAAUUUUUCUUUUAGCAGAAAAACCUAAUAUAUAAUGUGCUCAAUUUAACAAUUGUACACUUUGACAUGAACUCUCUUCAUAUCAUGGUAGAUUGACUAUAUACUGGGCAAAAAUCCCCAUAAGAUGAGCUAUGUUGUGGGAUUUGGAAACCACUACCCUAAGCAUGUUCAUCAUCGAGGUGCGUCCAUUCCCAAGAAUGGUGUUAGGUAUAGCUGUAAAGGAGGAUGGAAGUGGAGGGACACUAAGAAGCCAAAUCCUCACACAAUUGCUGGAGCUAUGGUUGCUGGUCCUGAUAGACAUGAUGGGUUUCGAGAUGUUCGUACCAACUACAACUAUACCGAGCCUACUCUUGCAGGCAAUGCUGGUCUAGUUGCAGCACUAGUAGCUUUAUCUGGUGAGAAGAAUGGAGUGGAUAAGAACACUAUAUUCUCUGCAGUUCCACCAAUGUUUCCAACUCCCCCGCCACCCCCUGCACCAUGGAAACCUUGAGGUAGGGGACAUCAGUUUUUCUGUGCCUGGUGAUCAAUGAAAUAUGAUGAUCUUUUCAUCCCAGAUAUGGAGACCUAAUGUUUAUGAUGGUGAUGUGAAAACCUUGUUCAAGCAACUAACAAUGUGAAGCUCAGUGCUUCACCUCUUUUUGUAUCCAAGUGUUGCAUCAUGGCUUUGUGUUAUAUAUACAGGAUGUAUGAUAUUCAUGAUAGAGACCCAUUAUUCCAGUUUCUUAAAUAAUGGAGACUUUUUAUUCCAGUGGCCAAACUGGUUUUAUGCUGGCAGGAUCUGUACCAUGAAAGAAAGGUCUGAUUGUCUUGGAAGCUCAUUGCUUGUGUUGCUCAAAUUCACAUCUGACAUAUACUGAAAUUCUCCAUUAUUAUAUUCAAGGAGGAACUUUUAUGAAAUCUUUAGAUUUUUAAGAGGAAUGCUUUUGCUUGAAGAGUGCCAUGCUUCAUUAGUUGUUGCAUGGUAAGUUUUCUUUGUUUAAUAGCAUGCUUCAUUAUAUCAGGUUGCGACUUAUUAACUAUUAAAUCUAUGAUGACACUCGAAGCAGUUGGGAAUUAUGUGUCUUUAUCAUUUUGGUUGUUUGGAGCUUAUGUCUUGAAGCACUAUAGUAGUUUUAUGUACAUGGGUGAUGAUCAAUUUUUACAUGUGGUUGGCAGAACGACUAUCUUGGGUUCGAAGGAAUGUGGGUUCUGGAAGAUUGAUUUAUUCCAUUGGCAAGAUUAAUGAUGCUGUUCUUUUUUUUUUUAAUGGUAAAGAUCAAUGAUGCUGUUCUGCGGAGUGCCUUUUCAUAGGUUGGUGAUGAACUUUUGCCAUCAGCACAAUUAUUUAAUGCCUACUUAUGGAGCAUCAUAGCUGGUCAAAUUAUUAAAGUUGGGAGUCUAAGAAAUGAGGUUGUGUGCAUUUUCUAGCUUGCAUUAAAGGCUUUAAGCAAGAUUAAAUCCAACUAUAGCCUUAGUCGGAAUCAAUGCUCUAUCAAAAAUAUGUAAUGUGAUUUAAUCUACUGCUCUACCAAACUUUCUUUUUUUUUGCUCUAAAAUGCAGGUGGUAUCUCAAACUUUGAUUCAUUGAAGACAGCCCAACAUGGUCCAUGGCAUGUGUGUUUGCUCUGAUGACUAGUGAGAAGAAUUGAUAUUUUAUUUGGUGAAUAUGCCGUACUUGUGAGUGGUGAUAUUGGGAUGCUUGAAUGAUGACUUAACAUGCGCGCUUGCUAAAAGUGCUAAAGAUUUGGUGGAUAAGCUUAUAGCUUGCCUUAGCAUGAAUCCUGCACAUCUGAAGGAUGAACAGAGUACCUUGCAUCCACUCCCUUUCCUCCCUUGCUGAUGCUCAAUGUUUCUUGAUGCCAGAAAUACCUUAUACAUUUUCCCAAAUAUUUUGUGCAGCUGAACUUUUGAAGUUUGAACUAGUAUAGAUUUUCUCCAAGCAGCACUAGGAGCUGAAUUUUCCCCUAAAAUGAGAUCUAAUGAUGGGAUAGCAAAUCUGUAUUCAGGAGUGAUGUUUAUUUCCAAUUUUUUUCCCCCAAAAAACAUCCUUUUCAAAAUGUGAACUAAGUGACAAGCCAAUUGUGUUUUCUAGCAGUCAAUAAUACAACAAUAUUAAAGACAACAUGUAUAUAUAAGCAUUUUACUAAUUGCGUAUUUGGUUAGAAGGAGAUUCCAGCUCUGUCAUCAAUUGGAUUUUAGGCAACUUUGUGCCUAUAUACCGAGAUAUUCUAUUGUUAAAAGAUAACAUGGAAAAUGUACCCAAAAAAAAAAAGAAAACAUGGAAAAGAACCAUGUGGGCAUUUAGAGCAACACAUGCUUAUAGAAGGUAACCAAGUUACAGAUUAAAUGGCUACCAAAGCAUUAGAGGGUGACUUCAUCUCUGGCAAUGACCAGCUGCAAUCUUCUCUUGGAUGGUGUCUUUGUUACCCCCGGCCGAGGCCCGGGUUCAUGUAUACUUGACCUCUGCUUGUUCUAAUUUCUGCAUUACAGGCUUGCCUCUUACUUUGUAUCACAAAAAACAGAUUAACUUUGGUGGUGAUUGUUCAUUAUCUAAUCAACAUAUUUUCUGAGCCAUAUUUUUACAAGUCCCCAGUGGAUAAUUUGAUUUUUAUAGGUCCCUAGGUUACAGAUUUCACAAACAAGUUGCAGACCACUUGUCCGUUUUCGGAGUAGCUUAUGAGACGGUAACUCGUCUGGUCUGCUCGAGCCGGUGUGGUUCAGGGUAGGGUGUGGGCUUUGGAAACCGGUGUCGAACCGGUCAAGAGUAGGCCGUGGGCCCAUUUGUGAGGGCUUGAGCAACGACCUUAUUAUGGUUUCUCGUACUGGAAACAUGGAUUUGUUCCUUUCAAGGAGAAGAUUAGUAACUAGCCAUACCUUCACUUCUCUUAGAUGGAUUUAUUCCGAUGAAUGAAGCAUCAAAGUAAUAUUUAGUACUGUUGUGGUUCUAAUAAUAUGGAGAGCACCAAUAAUUUCAUAUCGAUUGCGAGUCAAGAAGGACUUGCAUUUAUAUGAAAGAAAAUUAUGAGGCUCAUGAGCCAGAACGGACAAUACUUCAUGUGACGGACUGAAUCCUUGUCCACAAUAAUGAUGCGCCAAAAACUGAACGAAUAUUAAUAUUGUGGAUCCAACUAAAAAUGGUCACCACAAGUCUCCCCCCUAGAAGUCAAUUCUUAUAUUGUGAAUGGGUCUCACAAUCAUUUGCAAGCCUUCAGAAUGUUUCAGAAUUACAUAUAGUUUCGAUUACUCUUGAUCAUCUACUGAUCUUUUUUGGCUACGAAAAUAGUUAGGUGUUAACAAUACAAAAGUAUAUCUAAAAAAAAUUGUUUUAUAUCACAAUCAUUGAUAUAUUAAAAAGUAUCUAUCAACAUUCUCUUUACUUCUUUUUGGAAGUGGGGGAACAUCCUAAAGUUCAACAUAAUAUAUCAUUUAUUAGUUAUUUAUCCUAUCUCAACAAUUGGCUUUUUAUAUUUUUAUCAAAUUCUAGUAUGUAUUAUGAAAAGUUUUGGAAUUGAACAAAUGAAAUCGAAAUGUAAAAUUAAACAAUUUUUUCAUAUUUUACUCACCACCCCAAUCUCAUUACUUAAAAGAAGAAUAAAUUAAGCAUACAUUCUCCAUGUUCUUUAUAAAGAAAGGAAGAGUGAUUGGGAAUGUUCGGUAUAAGAUUCAAGCUUAAAACAUAACUCACGUGCUGAUAUUACUAAAGGUGAUGAUUUAAACUACUUUCAUUUUUUUUUAGUAAAAACCCUCCAAACUAAUAAAUAUCGUAAUUAUAAAAACCUUUCGAUCAUAAAGUUUCGGGUAUUUUGUGAUGACAUGGUUCUCUCUCCUGCAGAACAUGUGGGUCAAUACGAAGGCCCGGGUGGCAAAGAACUCCGGUCGGUUCACUUGAACCGAAUGUAUUGGAUCAGUAGCCGAGAAGACCACACGGUCCGGCCCCAAUCCAACUUUAUCUGUCGUGUCGGACGACGGCCCCUUCUCUUUUUUCUGUCUCCUCUUCGUCUCGAUCGCAAGCCACACUCCCAUCCUCGUCCCUCGCUCCACCAUUCCCUUCUUCCCACCGCUGACGCCGCCCAUUCUCUCGUCUUCGAAGGUAGAUGCCUCUCACGUUUUCUCGAUCUCUCUUCUUUUCAUGCGUUUGAUGGCCUCGCAAUCGAUCGAUCUCGCUCUAGGGUUUUGCUGUCAGAUUAGCUUUUGUCGAGUUGAAGUCAUUUCUUGGAAAGUUUUUUCCUUUGCUUCGUUGCUUGUUUGGUCGGAGUUUUAGAAUCGGUUAUUCUUGACUAUUUGUGUGAUCUGGGAGCAACAAAGGAUGAAUUUUUACUUGUUUGAUUCGACGAAUCUUGAAUGCCAAAUUGAACAGUAAAUAGAGUCUAUUUUGAGAGCGUUAGAGCAAUUUUGAGGAGCAGUUUGCCCUCGCUCGACUUUCUUGAUGCUUGUUGCUCUCGACACUAACAUCUUUAGCAAUAUAUGUCCUUUUUAUUUUCCCUCUUUUCAAGAUUCAUAUAGAAAUGGUGAGAUAGCUUAGGGUGCGUUUGGUUACACUUUUUGAUUUUUAAAAAGUACUUUUUAUUUUUUUUAUUUUUGCUAUUGAGUAAAAGCAAAAAAGCAAAAAAUAUGUUUGGUAACUACAUUGCUAUAAAGCAAAAAGCAAUGUUUGGGGAUGGCAGAUAAAGAGCUCGACGAGGGAGAAGGUUCGGGAAGGAAAGAAGAAGGGGGUGGAGAGGUGAAGAGCUCGACGAGGGAGAAGGAUUUGGGCUUUUUACUUUUUGGUUUGGCGUUUUAGACAUGGGAAAGCAAAAAAAGCAGAAAAAUAAGNNNNNNNNNNNNNNNNNNNNGUGUUACCAAAUAUUGCUUUUUGAUUUUUGCUUUUUAAAAAUCAAAAACAAAAAAGUACUUUUUUAAUGGCUGACCAAACGCACCCUUAGUGACUUUUUUUUGGGAUUUUUUCUUUUGUUUUUAAAGUAUGUAUUCUUUUUGAAACAGUCAACUAUAGUCUAUCAGGAUGCUCAUGUUCUUCAAUGCCACGUAGAUAAAGCUCGGGAGGUGCAUGAAGAAAAGAUCGAGUGACGGAAUGUAUGAAGGUGGCUUGGUCACUCACCAGAGUUUGGAGGGCCGUGGAAGGUUUGGUUUGGAUCUGUGUGGAGGUCACAUAAGAAAUCUUGUAGUGUGGGUUAAGGGUUUGAGAAUACUUUCACAAAGCCUCUGAAAUUAGAACCUUAUAUAGCCUAGCAAGAACUGGAAGAUGGAUCAGAGCUUUCUAUUGGAGAUUUUUCUAGUCCUAAUGUUUAUAUUUGUUCAUGGACAAAAAGGAAAAGCAAAAAGAGGUUCCUUUUUUUUUCCCAAUACAAUUAAACAUAAUAAGAGUAUACAAAGCUGACCGCUAUUAAAGGGAUAGGUUUUUAGUCAUGCACCUACAGCAUAUUAUGCAAGAAUAAUUCUGAUUAAAGAAAGCAUGCUUUUGCUAAUUUUUAUGUUGCUUUAUCCAAUUAUAAAAGUUUCAAGUAUGGCUGUGUCAUCUGGCAUAAAGCAAGUUCAAAUUUUGCCCCAUACUGCACUUAUGUCUAAUUUUUUUCUUGUGUUAUUAUUACUACUUUUCAGAUUAGGGGAAAACUGUCGAAAAACCAGAAAGUCUUCAGACGCUCAACAAGAAUGAGAAGAUGUUGCAUCUGGAAUUGACUUUUCUGUGAAUUCUUUUCAUCACAAUGUCUGGGUUGCUCAAUGUAAUUCCUCUUCUCCAACUUCUACACCAACAAUACAAACCAUUGAAGUAUUGCAGUUCUAUGUUUAGUUCAGAAAUAUAACACUCACAAGGCUUUUGACUAUUAGAUUUUUUAAAUUCCUGUGCUUUUUCUGUUCUCCAUGACCAUAGUUAUUACUUAUUUUAGUAGUUGGUGUAUUGCUGUUCUAUGUUUGGUUGAGAAAUAGAACACUUAGAAGGCUUUUGACUAUUAUUUUUUUUAAAUUCCUGUAGUUUUACUAUUUCUCCAUAAUUAUUUCUUAUUUUGGUAGUCAGAUAGUUAGUAUUGUUGUCUUAUCUGUGGAGCUGCACAUUGGCCUGUUUAUAAUUGCUGAAAUGGAACACUCUCUGGUGAUUGCUUAAGUACUUGAUGACUUGUCACCUUGUGGUUGUUCCAUUUGAUGAUAAUUUUCACUAGAACUUCUUACAUAUGAUAGACCGUGACAAGUUGUCUUUGAUCAAAUAUAUGGGAAGUGUGAUUUAGUUGUCACUUUAUUGAAAAGGGGGCUUCUUUUACUUAUUUCUAUUCUUAUAUGCACACACACAUGCAUAUGGGUCUUGUUUUGCUUAACCAAACAGAUGGAACCUCUGCUUGCAGUCAACACUUAAUGGUUCCGCAUCAAAUCUCCCAGAUUCAAGUGGCAGGCCUUUCACAUCUUCAUUUUCUGCUCAGUCUGCGACAUCUCCAGGUUUUCAUCACUCUGGUGAGGAGAUUCUCAUGCACUCAUCUUUCUUUGACAAAUAUAUGGGAAAUUUUCACAAAUAACGAAAAUGCUAAGAUUUAGGUGGUCUACAAGGGCUACACAACAUUCACGGAAGCUUCAACAUUCCCAACAUGCCGAGCUCACUCGCAUCUAGGAAUGCAGCAAUGAGUGGUGUCCCAUCAAGUGGUGUUCAGCAACCUGGAGGAAACAUAUCUAGUGGACGAUUUGCAUCCAACAAUAUACCAGUUGCUUUGUCUCAGGUUCAUAUAUUAACAUCCUUUUUAUCUAGAGUAUUCCCAUGUUGCUUCAUCAUGAAAUCCUAAAAUAUCAUACAUCAGUUUUUUACUGAAUGCAUGCUUUUUAAUGCUUUAUUUUAUUCUAUGCCUACCUUCAAAUCUUUAUCCAUAUAUUCUCAUUUUAUCAUGCAGAUUUCACAUGGUUCUGGGGUAACCAAUAGAGGGGGCAUUAAUGUUGUAGGAAGCCCUGCUUUUAGUAGUAGCAUGAAUGGGGUUGGUGGUUCAAUACCUGGGAUUUCCUCAAGCUCUGCUACUGCUGGCAACCGUGGUUCUGUUCCUGGAUUGGGUGUAUCUCCAAUUUUGGGGAGUGUAGGUUCUCGAAUAACCAGCUCAAUGGGAAACAUGGUUGGUGGGGUUGGUGGGGGAAACAUGGGAAGAAGCAUAAGCUCUGGAGGAUUAUCUGUUCCUGGCCUUGCUUCUCGUGUAAAUUUUGCUGCUAAUAGUGGAUCAGGGAAUCUUAAUGUACAGGGGCCCAACAGGCUGAUGGGUGGCAUGCUUCAACAAGGUUACUCUCUUAAAUUCCGUGGAGAUCUCUAAUUCAUAAUUUUAGAAGACUGUCAUUUUCAUUUUAGUCUUCUGUAGCCUAUAUACUUGGUUCAUUUCCAUGACUUAAUUUCAUAGUUCAUAUGGAUGCUAGGCACAAGUAGAUGCAGUAUUGGGGACAUGUUGCUAUCUGGAGGAUAUAACACAACAGAUAUUUUGGCUUUCUGUCAUCUGCCAUUAACUUACGUCCUUUAUUAACAUAUCGCUUGUGUGCAACCGAGAUAUGAUUGUUAUAUUGAUAAGUUUGUUUUGUGAAUCUUGAUGACAUACUGCCAUGUUUGUUACCUAGGCCAUUUGAAAGCAUCAGGAAGGCUCAAAAUUCCUGUAUCGAGCUUUUGUGUUCUUUUAUCUUUCUUUUAUAUAACAUUUUCUUCGAGGCUUUUUGUUUGUGAUACAUUGUUAUUUCAAAACUGUUGCUUGCAGUAGAAUUGUAAAAUUCUCUUAGAAAUAUGCACACACACAUACAUAUUCUAUAUAGAUGGAGAUAUAUAGAUAUACAUACAUAUAUGUUAUUUGGAUUUCUAUUUUAUUAUCUAUUUGAUAUCACGUGGCUUAAGUAGAUAGCUGUAUUCAGUAAACUUUGUUAGAUGAGUUUUCUAUGGAUUAAUAACUUUCGUUAGUCUCUUGCAACCAGCUGAAUGGGCACUUUAAACAUUUGAGAUAAUAGCGUUUUUUUUUCUUAUGUUAACAGUAGGCAUCAUAGGCUCAGGUUAGAGAGGAGUUUAAUCUUUUCUUGAUACAAUGAGGGUUUUUUUUUAAUAUCAGGUCGAAUUGCAUUUAUCAACUGGUUUAAUUUGAUCUUUUCCUGAAAAUGUUGGUGUUAUCUGGAAAUUCGUAUACUGAAAAAACCCUUUUUUUUAAAAUCCGAGGCUCAGUAUCAAGGUAUCAAAAUAUUCAAUUCACCUUUUAAAUAUUAAACAAAUGAUUUUUUUUUGGGGUGGGCUUUACUUCUACAUUAUAAGUUUCUUCUAUUGUAAUUAUGACUGUUACCAACUGCCAAGUCCCUGACUAGUGACUUAUAUAAAUUUUUGUGGGUUGUCUUAUUAAAAUGGUUUCUCAACCUUGCACCAGUGGGUUGUUUCUUGGAGGCUAGGGCUUACCUGAUUGCUGAGGACGUUUUUCUCCAUUGCGGGGUAUAGAAUGCUUCUGAAGAUUAUAUGUGCUUCCAUCUUUCAAUCUGAUGGAUCUGUCUCCUUAAGAGGUGUCUUGAUCUGAGAUUUACAUGAACAACUUGUGGGAGUUCUUUUAGUUUUCUGAAAUUAAUUAUAAUAUCAUUAUGCGGCUUUGUACGGACUAAUAGUAGACAAUGGUUGUGGAUGUCCUGGGUGACUCUUGGUCAGGUUGUCAGAUCUUGUAUUCUUGGUAUUUUGUUAUCUUUGCACAUUUUGUCAGCGAUAUUACUUUAUGGAGAAAAUUUUCUUAAUCAUAAAAGUAGCCUCACUACUGAACAUGGAGAUAGCUAUGGAAUGAAAUUGCAUUCUUGAAGAAAUGAAGAGGUAAGAUUGGCAAAUUUUUGACAUCCUCUCUCUUGAUCAUCUUCAAUGAGUGCUUUGGCUGCCAAAAGGAUGGUGGUGGAGUCAUAAAAUGAUGAGUUGGCAAUUAUUGAAUAUGACUCCAUAAAGAGAUAAAACUACCAUCAUGAGCAAAGUUGAUUUUAAAUGCUACUUUGAAAGGAAAGAAUAUGAGCUUGGUUAUUGCAUAAAAUUGCUAUCCUCAGUUGGAUAAGAGGAUUUUGCCAAUCUUUUUAGAAAAUUGAUGACCAGAAUUGACACAGCUUAGAUUGGAUGUGGCCCUAUUUAUUUCAUUGUGUCAAGAGGGUUGUUUCAGGGGGGCAUUUGUAAUCUGUAUGACAAGUAAAUGGCAGAAAUGAGUUUUAAUAUAGGUCUAUGCCAUACUUUGUUUCCUCACUUGUUGCAAAAAGGAGGUAGGAUAUCAUCAAUUUUAUCAAGGAAAUUUUACAGUCAUGAUAUGUCACAAUGAGAUCAAAACACCUUUUCCACUUCCAGUUCAUGAAAACAUUUGCCGACAUAAUAAAAUAUCACUAUGAUCAUGCUAUGAAAAUCAGAUCUGAUGGAAUGGAUAAUAGAACGAAUUGACUAUUUGAAAAGGUCAUAUGUGUUUGGAUGUUUUGCCACUGUUUUCAUCCUUGGAAGUGUAGAACGGUUUUAUGAGAAGCUUAUCAAGGAAAAUUGGAGUGGGUUAUGUUUACUAUCUGAAUUUUUUUUAUAGCAUCAGAGAUCACCUUUAGAUUAUUCUGUGUAUAUGGUAUAUGAAAGUAUUCAAAUUGCAGGAUCAAACCCUCCUAGGUUUUCUCUUUUUCCUGACAUGCAUUCUCUUAUUUUUUUUCCCUCUUUCAUCUAUCCUCAUUUAACACCUUGGUGAACAGAUCAGUUUCAGAUAUUCUGGAUCAUGUAAUCAUAUGCUUAUUUAUCAUUAUCAGUACAUUUUUUUUAAUUAGUUGUAAAGUUUUUUUUAUGGACAUUUGUAAAGAUCUUAUAUGCUUUAGUUAUCUUAUUAAAAUUAAUGAAACGUAUUAUUUUUGAUUCAUAUUCAGGUAUAUUAAUUUAUGAGAAAUUUAGCGGCAUAUGCAUAUGAUGGAAUAUGUUUGCUAGGUUUAAGGGCUAGUAAGACACAAUUCAAUUGCAUUAUGAUGCAUCUCAAGUUUAAAGUCUCAAAUUGAUAGUUUAUAGUGUUUGUGGUGGGUUGUUGGGUCUUGAACUUGAACUAAUUUUCAGUUCAUAUCAUAUCAUUUUGAUAGUUGGUCUGAGUAAUAUCUAUAUAAUCUUUGACAUUUGGUCUGAGUAAUAUCUAUGUAAUCUUUGACAAGUUUGCCCCAUGUUCACCUCUCCACCUCCUUUGGCCAUAGAGGAUGUUAUGAAUUUACUCAUAUUUGUGUGAACUGCCUAUGGUUUUCCUUUUCUUAAUGUCAUUUUUUCCCUAACACAUGCUGUUAGUCUGAGCAAUUUCUAGAAACUUCUGUAUCUGUUGGGAAUGAUUUGCAUUUAAUAGGUACCUUGCUAACUAUAUUAGUCUAUUCUUAAGUAUGUUCUCUGAGGUGGUGUAGCAUGUGUUUAUGAAUUAGCAGCACCUCAAAUGCUUGGUAUGCUUGGAAACUCUUAUCCUACCUCUGGAGGACCGUUAUCUCAGAGUCAAGUACAAGGAGGGAAUAAUGCAUUAAACUCUAUGGGAAUGUUGAAUGAUGUCAACUCCAAUGAUAAUUCUCCUUUCGACAUGAAUGAUUUUCCUCAAUUGACUGGGAGACCAAGUUCAGCUGGAGGGCCACAAGGACAAUUGGGUAUAUAAUGAGAUUUGUCAUUUAAGUUUUCAGUGCUUUUGCAUGCAAUGAAAUGCCAGCUGAUCUCCAAACUUGUAGGUUCAAUGCGCAAGCAAGGAGUUGGUGUUAGCUCCAUUGUCCAACAGAAUCAGGAAUUUAGCAUCCAAAAUGAAGAUUUUCCAGCUUUGCCUGGAUUUAAAGGUGUUUUAGUUACCUUUCAUCUAAUUUUUUUUCUUAAUUUUCAUUGAAAUAUUACCAUAUUUUAUAUUUGCUAGCAAAUCAUUAUGAAUUUUAUGCUUUUAGGUUGAUAAUGGGGAACAAAUAUUGUUGUACAUUGAUGUCUUAUCCAGAACAUUCUGCAACUUAUGUGCAUUGUGGUUGCUUCUUUGUUUUUAUUUAUCCUUGUUUUAAUUUUGGUUUUGGCUUGUUUUCAAGAAAAAUACCCAAUAUAUUUUGAGACAUGAAACUUGUAUGUGUUGCUUGCACUUGUUGAAGGAUAAUAUCUAAUGUCAACAUGUUUGUUGAAGUCAAGGGUAUUCUUAGAAGGCACUUACUAUUUUGUUAUUGCUGUCAUCAUGUAGCAAUAUAACAUAGAAAGAUCCAUAUUGCGAUGAAUAACUUGAUUGUUUCCAAUUGGUCCCAUGAUUCUAUAAUAUGUAUGCACAAGACCUAGUAGAAAGACAUGGCUAAAUUAUCCAGCUAUGAUAAGGGGAUAUACUAUAUACUUCUGUAUAAUACUAUAACGAGGAAAUCGAGCAACAGAUUUUGACUCUGAUUGGGUUACUGAUGUUAAUGAGUGCUUUGGAGAAUAUGGCCUAUAACUGUGAUAGAAUAUGAACUGUCAAUUUCUACAAUCUAUUUAUUUAUUUGUGUGAUUCUGGGCUGUGGGGGCAUGAGCAAACUCGUCAAGCUCAGAAAGGUCCCUUGUAUGAAGUAGAGAUGGCCUACAAUAGCAACCUUUGGUAUAAAGCCUAAGGUUUAGGUUGCAAUAGCUUCUUUGCUAGCUUUUAUGACAGGAUGUGGACAAUGGUAUAUCAAAAGACAUAGAUAUCACAAGUACUUGGAUCACAGAACUCUAGAAACACUUUCUACUGCUUUAGAACUUUAAUAUAUUGGUUAAUAUCUUUAAUUUAAGCAUUAUAAUUGAUCUUUUCUAUGGGUGCAGUCUACUUGUUCCUUCGCUGUUUCUUUGUUUUUAUAUGUGGAUGGUAUGCUUCAAACGUAGAAUUUGGGAUCCUGGUGGAUCCUGCUGGUUCUAUACUGUUCCAAUGAGAGAACGGUACCUAGGAUGCACCUGGGAUGCUGGUUCUUUCAUGAAUUGGGAUGUCCCGACCUACUCUGUUGGAACUGGCAGGAAUGGAUCAGGACUGUUGCAUCUAGAUGCUUGAGGUGGCUUGGUGUCCUAGGACAUUUUUGGCCGUCUUGCGACAUUUUUCUUGAAAUCUCUUUGUUCUUGCUAUUAAUGGUCCAUCCUGGUCUGUCCCAAAUCCGGAUACCACACUGGCCCAGGAUGAACCAUCGUGGGUAUGGUACCAGGAGUUAAUCCUAGCUUCAAACUGUUCCUGGUUUCUCAGCAUACAUCUUUUUGGUUAUGCUGCACUGUGGUCUUAGAUCUCUUGUAGUUGUUUAUGCUGAGAUGUAAAUUCCAUUUGAGGUAAUGCUUCUCAAUAUCAUGAUAAAGGUUCACAGGAGCUUGCAUUUACAGAGGGUUGACCCUUUUGAUGUGGGGGGUAAAUUUUUGAGACCCAAUAUAAUCCUGUAAAUCAAUUUGGCCUGCUUGCAUUAAAGAUCUUGUAACACUAGCUGAUAGUGUUUCAGUAGCCUUCUGUUGGUUUAUCUGAUGAUAGAGAAAUAAUGGGAUCUUUGAUAUGAAAUAUAAAUUCAAAGAGAUCAUUAGUAAAGAGGAGAUUAAGAUUGUGAAAGUUCUGGUAGAGUCUGUUUUAAAACUCUCUUAGUGCGAGGGAGUGGCCUUUUUGUUUAUUUUGACUUUCUACACUGUUUUUUUUAGUUGUCUCCUUGUGGUCCGCUUUUCUAUCUUGCCUGUCUGGUAUAGCUUCUAUACAAACUACUGCAGUUGGUCUUUUUCCUUAAGGUUUAGCAUUUCAUGUGUUUUUGGAUGCUUUGGGAGCUGGAGGGAAGACUUCAUUUUCCUAUUCAUGUACUCCUGUUUUUCAUAUAAACUGCAGUCCACACUUCAAUCUUUCCUCAAAAGAAAAAAAGCUUUAUAUGAGCUUAAGUUAUCUCAUUCAAACUUGCGUCAGGCUUAGUUAACUAAGCCUGAUGCAAUGCCCAAGAUUGACCUGUGAGCCUGAAAACUGAAUGGGAUCAGGACAAUACAACCUGAUCUACAUAUCUAGCCAAUUGCUGCUAAUAUUUGAAUUGUGCAUUACAUUUUGGCUUCAGCCAACUUGUUCCUACCUUGUUUAUAUGCGUUGUGCUGGCAGUUCACUUCUAUCACUUUUUUGCCGUUGGUGUCCUGUAAUACCAGUUUGGACAAAUAUAUAUUUGAAGAAUUCUCCAUUUUUGUUUCCUAUAAAGUUGAAAUUAAAUAUGCAAAUUUUUUUUUCAUGUGGUUUUAGUUGAGUGCAUAAGAUACACUGGGAAAGAACAAACUUAGGCUAGGAUAAGCAUAUAUUUCAUUAUAAUGCUCAUCAGAUACCUCUAACAGAUACAUAAACCUGAAGAAUUUAUGUGCAAUUUUUACACUGUGGUACUAUAUGGAAACAUUUUUCCCCAUCUCGACUAGACCAAUUGUUUCUAGUGGGAAGCGAACAUGUCGUGAAUGUGCAAAGAUGAUUUUUGACUUACCUGGACAAAUCUGGCAUUCUAUGCCAUUCUGAAAUGCAUGCUCUCUCUCUUGCCAUUUAUGCCCUAAAUAUUUGUAUUAAACUUUUCUAAAGAAAUCCAAUCUACAAAAUAAUAUGGGCUAUCUUUUUUCAAAUGAAAAACAUAGGCAAGAAAUGGGAAAGAGGUUGAAAUUUGAGAUAGAUAGACAACGUUAUGUGCUUAAUGUAAAUAAUCAACCUUAAGUGUGCAAAUCUGCAUCCGCAUACAGUCUGAGUGUAUACUGCUCUGUAUUGGCUUGUACCCCAGCCUAUUGCUGUAAUGCAUUGCAAGACUACCCGAUACAUGUGGUUAUCGAUUCUUACUAACUUGCACCUCGUCUCUUGUUCUGGCAGCUAUGCUGGCAUCCUAUGUAAACAGCAUGGUUAUGGAGUGGUGUUAAAUUCUAAGCCGUGUGUUUUAUUGUUUAUUCUAGCAGAUUAGCGCUUAUGUUCUUUGUUCUGUCAUGGGCUAUUUACAAGGUUGGGUUAUAUCUCAUCAUGCUUUCGAUUAGUCAAAGCAGCAGCAGUUUCUGUCACUUCAGAAAACACCAGACAUGAUUUUUAAUUCUUCCUGUUUAUCUGCUAAUUAUUUGGUAUUCCCAAAAUCUAUCAAAAACUAUUUUGGUCCUUCAGUUGUACAAUAUUGCUUCUGACUUUCUUUGUUGUCCUUUUUAAUCUAGUUUUGACUCUUGUAUAGGUGGCAGCUCAGAUUAUUCUGUCGAUUUGCAUCAGAAGGAACAACUUCAUGAGAAUGUUCCAAUGAUGCAGUCACAGCACUUCAGUGUGAGUUGAAUCCUUUAUGUAAAAUAAUGAUAUAGUUUCAUAUUAUUGUUGUGCCUUCCAUUUGCUUGGAUUGAAGAUUGGAUUGGUGCGAUAUCUUGUAGAUGGCAAGAUCUUCUGGAUUUAGCUUAGGGGGAACUUACCCAUCUAACCGUCAGCAACAGCAGCAGCAUGCUGCAGCAGUCAGUAGUGCUGGUGUUACAUACGCACAUGGAAGCAGUCAAGAUCUUAUCCAUCUACAUGGCUCUGAUCUGUUUCCAUCUUCUCAUGGAACCUAUCACUCCCAGGUACGUUACUCCUAACUCCUUGUCGCUGCCAGAAUAUCAGAUAACCUGAGUGUGUAACCUGUGGUACAUAUUUUAACACUAAUCUGAAGUUCUCCUCAACUUGUCUUUACAGAUGCAAAAUAGUGGGCCACCUAGCAUUGGAUUUAGACCAUCAAGCUCUCCCAAUGCAGCUUCUAGUAUGGGAGCAUAUGAACAGCUCAUUCAGCAAUAUCAACACCCACAGAAUCAAUCUCAAUUUCGACUGCAACAGGUGUCUGCUGUUAAUCAAUCAUACAGAGAUCAGAGUCUGAAGUCCAUGCAGGGGAUACAAAGUGCUCCUGAUCGGUUUGGCUUACUGGGCUUGUUAAGUGUUAUUAGGAUGAACGAUCCAGAUUUGACAUCACUUGCUUUGGGAAUUGAUUUAACAACUUUAGGGUUGAAUUUGAACUCAUCAGAUAAUCUUCAUAAGACAUUUGGAUCUCCAUGGUCUGAUGAGCCAGCCAAAGGAGAUCCGGAGUACUGCAUUCCUGCUUGUUAUUAUGCCAAACAACCGCCUGCAUUACAGGUAUGAUUUUCAUCUUCUGAAAUCUUUUUGACAUAAACUCUCUCCAUUUUUGUGGCUAUACUAAAUCUAACAUUGUGGAUGUAGCAAGGACAUUUUUCGCGGUUUCAUAUAUUAACACUGUUUUACAUCUUUUACAGGUGUGUUUCUAUGAUGAGUUUUUCUCUUUUUGGUUAGUUUUUGUAUUGAUUGCAAUUGUUGUUUAAUUAGGUGUGCUUCUGCUUUUCUUGCAGCAUGCCAAGAGAUGAAGCGCAGCUGUAUGCUGCUUCUGAACUGUAAGCUUGCUCUCUUACCUGUCCACCUCGACCCCUUUGCAAACCUUUGGUUUGCCAGAAAUGGCAGCUUGCUGUUAGUAUGAUUCUAGUAUUAUAUGCCAUGUUGGAUUUUUUUUUCCCCUAAAUUCAAUUUUAUAAUUCUGGAUUCUCCAUCUAGCCGAGAAAUGUAAAACUGUCACUAAGCCCCUUCUUAUGUAUUAAGUUCCAAGAUAUCGAGAAUUUUUUUUUGUUGGGGCUGCGAAAUUUGCUUGCACACCUAUUCCCAAGUCCAACCUGCUGUUUUUUAUCCUGAAGCACUUGUCCUCUUUAUAUCUUGCUAACUGACUGACAUCACAUGGUAUAGUCACCUUCAUGUUUGUGAUGUCUUUCGUUGCCCGUCCUAGAAAAAAAUGUAAUGAUUAGCUUUGGUUUCAUGUGAUUUCUUUCCAAGAUGAUUUGUGAGGAUCCAUAAUAAUAGAACUUUUCCCAAUGUUGCAUAAACAAUCUUUUGUUCAAAUCCAUGCAGAUAUUCACGAGGAUGGUUCUACCAUAAAGAGCACCAAUUGUGGUUCAUGAGAGCAAACGUGGAGCCUCUGGUUAAGACUCAGACAUAUGAAAGGGGAACCUACGUCUGUUUCGAUCCAAACACAUGGGAAACUAGAACUAAGGUAAGAUCACAUGCCCCCCUCUCUCUCUUUUAAAUUUAUUUGUCCUUUGGCAUUCACAUGUCAGUUGCUUUGGCCGUCAUCUACAGGAAAAUUUUGUUCUCCAAUAUGAGGCGGUAGAGAAGAAACCAACUCUUCCUUCAGCUCGCCCUUAAAAUUAGCCAAAGGUCUUCAAUGUAAAUCUCUGCAUGUGUCAUUAAUUAUAUAAAUAAACACGAUCCAAUCUAUUCUUCAUUUUCUUUAAUGCUGUGGUUUCAUGCUAUUGAGCUACUAGAUGGUUUCUGUCAGCCUCAGGAUCCCCAAAUUAACCCCAUAGUUCAUUAGAAAUUUUUCAUUCCUCAUUUCUCUAUCUAUUCAUGUGUAUGUAAAGAAUAUCCUGUGAUGUGAUUUUCUCUUCAAGGGGUAGACUUUUCUCAUUUAAUAUGUAACUUAUUCAUUUAAAGCAUAUUAGAUUCUUCAAGGGGUAGACUUUUCACCUCUACGCAAGCCUGGAGGUUAAGCAUUUUACAGAAAAAAUGACGGGGCUUUGAAAUUGUCACUACUUUAGAAACUGUUUGGCAAAUCACAAUCCUCAGAAUAUUUGAUGAAGUCUGGUGUUUUGUUUUACCGUAGUUCUUUUAUCUGACUUUGUAUCAUUAGUAUGUGUGGUAAAUAUUUUGAUAGAAGAAUUCGCUGCACUCAUUGUAGUGGUGGCAGAACAAAAGAGAAAAGUCAUAAAAAAUAUUGGGCUAUUUUUACAGAUGCCAAUUGGAAGUGCUUCCAUCUUUAGUCUGUUAGUUCUAUUGUUAAGUUCUCUUUGUUUUUUAAUUUCAAUGAUCACUAUGCGUUUGGGCGUGGAGGGUGGUCAUUUAUGCGUGCAUUACAGGUUGGUUAUUUUGCAUGCAAGUAUUUGGAAGGUGCUUGGGAUGCCUAUCCAACUGAUUAGCUUUGUCUAUGUCUACAUUUGAGUCCAUUCUUUGGUGGAUGAGAAAACUAAUUAAUUUUUUUAUUGGUCAAUAUAUCUUUUUUUUUAAAUAUUUUUUUAGAUGAAUAAGUUAUUUUUAUAUAAAUAUUAUUUAUUUAUAAAAUAAUAGGAAGAAUUUAUCGAUUUUUUAAAUUAAUUUUUUAUCAGUCGAGAAAAUAUUUUUUUUAUUUUAUUCAUAAAAUAUCUCCAACUAAAUGAUAAUAAUAAUAAAUAUAUUAUAUUAUAUAUUAUUGAAUUAUAUGUAAUAUAAUAUAUUAUUUUUAUUAUAAUAUAUCAUAUAUAAUAAUAUUUAUAUAAUAAAGAGUAUUAUUGAAAAUAUGGAUAGAUUUUAGUAAUUUAUUUGAAAAAGUAGUAAUGUAAAAAAAUAUGUAUGAUAUAUUUGGGACGUAUUUUUAAAUGUAUUAAAGAAUAUUGAUGUAUUACUGUUUUGUCUAAAUGUUAUCAAUGAAAUAUUUAUUAAGAAAAAUAUAGGUUUUUGGAUAAGUUUUUUUUAUCUUUCAAAGACCAUAUUGCUUCCUGUGCAAGGAUUUGAAGGGUACCUGGGAUUGCCGACCAACUGAUUUUAAUGGUGAUCGUGCUUGAAGAUAAAUGGAAGCUUUAGGUUCCAUCAGGAUGAUGGCUGAGGAAAACGAGGGAGGCUAGAAGGCUCAAAUGUGGGCUGCAGGUUGGAUUACAGUUUUUGUUGCUCAUCAAUCUGAUGAUUGGAUCUGGAAAUGGAAAGGGGACUAUUCGCUGGAUUUGUGGAAUUUUUUAUAUCUUUGUCUUUUGGAUUGCUUUUGCAUCACGGCCGUCUAUUUGUAAAAAAGAAAAAAAAAAAAAAAAGGGCUCAAAUGCGGUAGAAGAGAUGGAAGAGCACCCUAUUAUGUGGUACUGCUUUCUUAAAAUCGGAGAUCACUUCUUCCUUUUCAGUGUAGGAAUCCUAUCACAGAUGUUAACG
rnacentral:lncRNA from 1 species